CUUGGGCACCCUAACUUCGUCGAAACGCGAUCGCUCCAAAACGAAGUUGGUUCCUCUCGAUCUAAGGACUAUCUCUGAGCUGCCUAGUGCUAGGUUUACCAAGUGUAAACCACACCUAAACCUAAAGCCUUGCCUAAGUCAAGCUACUAGAUCAAAGCCCCUCUUAAUACUACGGUCAGAGGAAAACAAAGUCCUAAACUACUCUAAGUGCCCUUCUACACCAUAUGGCACUUACACCUAGUCUAGUCUCGACGAUGUCCAUCCAUCCUUUGAAAACUGAAACGAUUUCCACUAUUAAGUAGGCAUGUACGUCCCUAUCCAUCGAGUACCUUUUACCAUGACCUUACCUAUGACUUUGCCUCUGCAAAACACACGUUAGUCAUAGUAAUCAAUAUUGUCAUUAAUCACCGAAAUCACUAGGGGCCUAGAUGCUCUUUCAGCAACGAUGGACUCAAGAGUUUCUGCAGUGGUUUCAUGCCUUAAAGGUACAUAUGCAUUCAAGCAAGAUCUCAUCUCUGAGUUAGAGUAAACUGUUAAGACUUAAAACUUACUCAUUUUACCUUUCACCAUGGGGCUUACAACCGUCACUUGUGUCUUGAGCAGUUAAAAGAUAGAACAGCCAAGUUAAGCGCCAUGUCUCUUGUUCUUUGAUCAGCUAUAGCUCUACAGUUUUUGCAGAUUUUCAAAUAAAACUCAGAGAUUCCUUGUAUAACUCUCUUAGAUCUCUCUUUUGUGGUAUUUCUGGAUCCUUACCAAGGCAGUAAUGAUAUAUGCCUUCUCUCAAAGUAUGUGGUAUUUUUGGUAUAAGGUAUAGUGAUAUUGCCUUCUCUCUCACUCUACUCUAAUAAGGUUUUGAUAUCUGGAGCUCGUAGGUGGGAGACAGAUAAUACAUACUUACAAGACAUUUAUUGCAUAGUCAAACCAUGGAUCUAGAGAAACAAGUCAAAAAGUCAAAUCAAGAUGUGCAUGUGUGGCGAGUGAAUGGUGUAUGGUGAUGAUGGUGAUAACAAUGGUGAAAAUCUAAUUCUACUUUUGCUCUUUUUAGGGGAUACAUACCUUUCUUGCACUUUGAAGCUUUUUGAGGAGAUUGAUAUGCUCUAUAUUUUCUUUUUCUUUUUCUCUCAGGUGGGUAGCUUUGUACCCCUAAUUCUACUGUCGGACACUUGUCUAUUUUUACCUCUCGUCUCACUUUUUCUUUUCUUCGAGGUUCCGGGCACUUGCCCCUUUUUAUUUCCUCGUAUCCUUUCUCUCUUUUUUUCUUUUCUUUUUUUUAGAGCACUCAUCUCCUGAAAUAGUGUAGCAAGUGGUAGUAACCAAAAUAACUAGGAUAGGAGUAGAAUACUUUUGGGUGAAUCUGGAGAUGGAAUUGAGUGGAUGUAUGUGGAUGCGUACUUUCUGAGUAGAAGUAGCAUAUAUGAGUAUAUGAGUGAACGUGCAAGUGAAUCUUGAUUUUAACCACAUGACAAGCUCCUAAUGGUCUACACAGCUUGACCACACUCAAUGCUCAUAAGCAGUAAAAAGUAAAUGUGUGGCUCAAAGUCUAAUAAGCAUGUAUAUAUGGUUGUGGUAGGAUUUUAAACUCUCAUCAUACAGGAACUCAUCAUGUGUUAUUUUAAAGAUUUUUCAAAGAUAAAAUUCUCUAGAAUUCUAGCAUCUCUAGGAACAGAUAAACAGCAGCUCAACCUUCCCAUAUCAUAUCCGUUAACAACUUAGACUUUAGAUCAAGUACUCUUCCCACAAGUUCAGGUUUAGAGCAAAUCUUAAUUCAUAAGAGUCAUGCCUAAACUUGAGAGAUAUUUCAAUUUUUAGAACUAGUCAUGGUAGAGCAACUAUUUAUCAUUUCCAUGUGAGAGCUUAUCAUGAGGGGUCAUAGCAAACUUUAUUUAUUUAUUUAUUUAGCAAACUAAGCAAAGAUAUAUAUAUAUAUAUAUAAGCAUAGAAUUUUAUUUGGGUUUUUUUAUGAAUAUGCAUCUUUUUAUUAUUUGAGUAAAGUAUAAAUAUGAGUAGAACACUUAGCUGGAUAAAUGGGGGUGAUCUCCCCCAAGCUGGAUUUUGACGUAAUUUCUUCUGAUGUAGCUAGCAGGUGGCAGAGGUAUAUUUGAAUAUCGGCAGCAUCGUGACAGCGAUUAGGAUGUCCUCCGUCUGCUAGUCUUCUUUGAUCCUUGAAUUCUGUGGAACUCAAAUAGACAACAAAGCUUUGUGGAACUGGUUAAGUGUUAGCAUAAAAUCUCUUUGCCUAUAUCAUAUUGAGCUUUCUCCUAAUAAAUUUUAUUUAGCAGGAUUAUGCACUUAUUAUUUAUAUUUUUAUUGUAAGAUGAAAACAAAUUUAUUUUAUGCCACCACAGUGAAUGUACCUAUGGGUUUUAUGCCAUGAGCAUACUCGCAUGGGGCUUACUAUUUUUAACAUUUUUAUUUUCUUUUCAAGAUAGUAUGAACCUGAUUAACUUAGCAAACUAUUUUAAAUAGGAAAAAGGAUAACUACCAAGUUUACUUCUUGGUAAUGCGUUUAGAGUUUUUAAGUCGUCCGAACAGGACUCACCGUUUUCUCAGUCGUCCUGGGAUUCGCUGGAUGGCGUAGUCAGUGGUUCCGGCGGCGCCUCCUCUUCGUGUAUAACUAUCUUCUUUCUCCACACCUGACUCGGUGCUACGGUCUCCUCAGGAUAGUUCUAUUCAAGCUGUAUGUCUUCAGACCUUAUCACUUCUCCUUCGUAGUCUACCCAUCCAUCCUUGAUGAUUUGCCUCCUCUGGUUUCAGUUACGUCGCCUUCUUCGGAAGUGCAUGUGGACUUCUCCGGUUCCAAUAUAUAUGAUGGCCUUGAUAGUGUUACGGAACGGUCUUUCAAUGAUGGUGGGUGGAUCAUACUCGUCUUCUCCCAUGUCAAUGUCCUAAAAAUCAUCUGGAGCUGAAUGUAUAUUGGUUGUAGGGGCAUGGUUCCAUGCAGGAGCUGAUAAGUGACUGCGGCCAUUAUGUUGUCGUUAGAUCCGGUGUCGUAGAGUGUCUUCUGAAAAGAGUAUCCAUUGAUUGUGCACUCGAUGAUUGGAAGACCAGGGUCGUCCUUCUUGAUCAGGAAAGGCGACUUGAGUUGACGAUCUUGACCUCCUCCGACAAGGAUCCAAUGUUUUAAGUCUUCUGGACAAGACUUCUCACCAUCUUCAUCCUUUAGGUGCAUCAUUUAGGUGUGGACCUUGACGUUUGCACCUCUUGAUACGGAGUCACCCAUGUUCUUUGUUUGCCCCGUAGUUCGAAGUGCGGUGUUGGCAAUAUCCUGCUCAGUGUGUUAGUGCUCGUAGGUCCAGGUCCUUCACUUGGUGGAGUCUAGGAGUUGUAAAACUCCUCCAUAUUUUGCUUUAAGUGUACCUGUUCAUAGAGACAAGGCAGAGAUCAAGUGCAUGGGCCCUAUUGGUGGAGAACACCAACAGAACCAAAAGUGUAUUUGUUCUUCUCUAACCUUAAGCAUAGUGAGCAAGACAAGGUUGAUGGAUCAUGAGUGUAGCAUUUGUCAGAUCAGAUGGCUCAACCUAAUGGAAAGAUAAUCUAUCUAUAUUUAUGUUUUGUUUAUAUCUUCCAAAGAUUGAAUGUGCAACAUUUUAGCUUACUAGGAACAAAGAUUAAAGGACUAAACAUGUUGAAUUAAUUGGGUUGGUUCAUUUGGAGUUACAAAUCAUACAUGUUUGUCUCUUUAUGUGAACGCCAGAACCAAGGAGAAGCUUAUAAAAGCGAUAGUCAAGUACCUUAGGAUGUUACCUUAAUUGAAGAGUGAUUGUACCAUCUCACCUUGUGGAAGCUUUCCUUACUUAGCGGUUGUGCAUCGUGUUUGUGGCACCCUCCAUGGAUCAUCUCUUUAUGAUGAAUGAGCUAUAUCCUUCUUGUGCAAAUUGUUAAACUUCAGGUGUCUCCUUUAUCCCCAAUGUGAGUAUGUAUCUCUGGACUUCCUAGGUUGAUAUUGAAAGUUUUCCUGCAGGGGUUAGUUUGACAAAAUAUACCAGUGCCUACUCAAGCAGUUUUUAGUUCAGUGACCAAACUAGACUCCAUGUCUAAUCAGAUUAAGGAAGGCUAUUUAACCUAAACACCACGCUUAAUUUAAAAGCCAAUAGAAGUAUGUACAUUACUUCCAAACUAACACUUACUAAGAUAAACAUAGGUAGCAUGAUGGCUUUUAUAGAGGUCUACUCAAGUGGAGAUGAAGUAGUGUGAUUAGUAUUUAACAAAUUGAGCAUGUCUCAAAGGUAAGGGCAACCAACAUAGCAACAUGGCAAAGGAUGUUUUUAUGUGAAGUACUCCCCCAAGCUUGAAUUUUGCAAAAUUCAAGUUUGGAUGAAUUUAAUUCAAUGUUGUAUGAUGAUUGGUUGGACAUACCUUUCGCUUGUCAUUCCUUGGAUCUUCUUGCUCCAAUCCUGAAAGGAUAGUGGCAUGAAUACCCGAAGGAAUAUUUCUACAAUUAUCUUUAUAUGCUCCAAACACAAGGCAAUAUUGCAAAUAAUUAGAAGUUCAUGUUACGAUCUGAUAGGUGCUUGUUUUAGGACACUAAGCUUGUCCUUGGGAAACCAUCAAUUUAUGUCGGCGAAGUGGUUUCCCCUCCAACACUGACCUAUAACGAUAUCUACAAUAUUUAUUAUAGACAUAUGCAUCGACAACCACCCUUUUACAGUUUUUAUAAAUAGAAAGGAAGAGGGGGUUGGAGAUCUCAAAUGUGGUGAUAGCACAUGAAUUUUUAAUGCCCUCUAGCCAUUGAUGUUGCUCUUCUCGAUCCUCCUUGUGAUCUUGGUGACUCUUAUGCAUGGGAUGUCUAGAGAGAUUCAUAGGAUCAUCAGGAGGUUCAAGAGAAAGAGAAGAGUAGAAAUUAUUAAGCUCAAGGAUGGGUUAGAUAGCCGAAUCAUGGGAUUGGAAUGUUGGGAAAUUGGCUAUUGAAACUUCCUUUCCUUGUGUGGGAGAUGAUUCCUUCUCUAUCUCUAGAAAUUUUUUAUGAAGACUAGUGCAAGAAGGAUGUCCACAAAUGAAGACAUACCUUGCUUUACUAACAGAUAAAGAAAGAAAGACUCUACCAAAGGUUAUAUGAUUAAGACCAAUGCGAAAAUAUCGAGAAAAAACAUGGUCUUGUAGGGCUAGGUCUAAACCAGAAUUUAUAGAAAGAUUAACAUAUUCCCUAGGUGUAGCUAAAAGUGCAUUAUCUUCUUGAUUAAAAGAUAGGACCUCGGCUAUAGAAAAGGGUUGGUUUUGACCUAUUGCAAUCAACUCCGGACACAGAUCAUAAUUAGGGGCAGGACUUGUUGACUCCCAUGGUCUAUGGCUGGUCUCCGAAGGUGCAAAAAAUUCAAUAGUAGGUAUGGAAUUUAAGUUAUCCAUAAAGAUAGAAAAAAUAAAAAGAUAAAAGAAUAAAAGUAUAAAAGUAUAAUACAAGAUAAUAGCAAGACUUAAAGUUAUCUCAGCAAACCGUCUUUCUCCCCGGCAACAGCGCCAGAAAUGCUUGUUGAUAUUUGGUAACGCAAUAAGGAAAUGAUCCGCAAGCGCACGGAUAUCGGUGAGCAUUUCACCCGGGAGGUUUUCUAGAGUAUCGUAUUUAUAUUUUUACCACUGGGAGAAAAGGUGCAUCUGACUAACCAAAUCUAUUUCUACUAUCCCUUUAGGCUACAAAGAAUGUUUCUCGAUGUGAGCGAUGUAUAGAGAAGACUGCAACCGUAGUCUCGUUCCAACCUUGGUAAGGAUGAUCUACUGUUCUAUUGGGGAAGCUUACGGAAUCUAGACACCACAAAAGAUGUUCGACCUGCACCUAUAAACCUACCCGUCCUGCUAACGAGAUGUGGGAUGCAAAGGUAACUCAGAAAUGUCACGUUCCUCGCUACUACCACGGUCCAGCUAGUCAGGGGAUAUCUAUGAGUACCCUAGACUAAACACCACGUUUACGCUAGCAAUGAUUACUCUAAUACUCAACCGGAAGAGAUUAAUGUAAACUCAUAAACCAAAGAACAAUAAAACAAGAACUUACUAGAAUUUAGAAGUCAAAAUACUGAAGAAUCCUAGGAGCAAGCCUCGGGUUAGAAGACUUGAUCCCGUAGGUACAACCUUGGAGUAGACACUGACAGGCCGGGCUUCCUCCGAUCUACACCUCCACUCUAUCUCUCUCAAUCUAGUAGAAACUAGAAGAUCUAAUUCUACUCACAUUGGAUGCUAAGCCUAAAAGAAAUUUUAUUUAGAGGACAGGUAUUCCUUCGAGGGCUCCUCUCAACUCUAUGAUGAACUUGUUCUCCUCCAGGGGCCAGGGGGUCUACUUAUAUAGUCCUCCUCCUCUGUGCAUUUUUGGUUCAGCAAACGAUGUAGUACUAAACUUUCCACCAUAUCUCAUUAAAAUGCACAUAGGCCUUAAUGGACCAAAAUCUGAUUUGGGCCCAAUUAAUCCCGCAGCUCUUUUAUGUGGAGUCCUUCUUUUAUUAAUAUCUCUUGAUUCCGAACUCCAAAUAUAGCAAAUAAUAUAUGCAUUUCGAUCAGCUCGACGAGAUCUUUGUAAUGGUGUAUGUUGACACUUGCUAACACCACUUGAAUACUAGGUUUUCAUCCCCAGCAUGGCACUAGAGUGUACUACGAUAUUUAUACGCACACAGAUAAUCCGCAAGCGCACGGAUACCGUUGUAGCCUUAUACCCGAUUAAAGGUUUUAUCGUAUCCACAGGGAAACAGGAGAACUGAUCUACGCUCUAACUUAACCAAGAUAGAUAGGUAGGUGUAAAUAGGAAAGAUGGUAAAAUUGAAUAAGAACAAUAUUAAAGGUAAGAUAACAAUGGGUGAUAAUAAGGGAAUAGAGAGUAAAGCAAUCUAAUAUAUGGGCGAUGGUAGCAGAAUAGAGAGGAUAACUAUGGUUUCUCUACGUCAAAUGGGUAUGUCUAUGUCUGAGAUGAACCACGUGAUAAGAAUACACCACAAAGGAUGCUUAUCUAUAGGCCGAUAAACCCUACCCGUCCUGCUAACGAGAGGUGGACUACAGGGGACCAACGUAACUAUCACCUACGCGGCCUACCACACGAUCCAGCUAGACAGGGGAUAUCCAUAAGUAAUCUAGGUCUAAGCACCACGCUUACACCUAUACUACAACUCUAACCUAUAGGGUCCUAUAGAUUAGAAGUACUCAAAAGAGUUGUGAACCAGAACAUACAUGAUUAGUAAUUUCAUAAUGAAUUAGAAGUAGAUUACCAGAGUCAUCCCAUUAGCAAGCUUGAUUAGAGCUUGAUCAUGACGAAGUACAACUGGAGGAAGAACCGACAGGCCAGCCUCUCCUCUAAUCCUCCUUCGCUCUCCAUCUUGCUACUAUCUAGAUCUACUCUAGUUUAGAGAUGAGAGGAGAGCUUUCAUCUCCAAACCCUAGCUUUUGCUCUGUCUAUGAAUAAUGAAUAAUGAUCAAGGGGUGCCUCCUCCAGGGGCCAGGGGGUCUGGUUAUAUAGUCCUCUCAAGUGAAUCUAGGCCGUCGGAUCAAACCGACAUUGAUUGAACGGUUAUCCUUGAUCCUUUAGGUCGGUGGAGAUUGAUCCCGAAAGAGAGUCCUGUUUGGACUCCAUGAGGGGGUGGGCGCCCAGGUCAACUGGGCGGGCGCCCAAGGCCUGGCUCCGUUUGGCCUCCGCUUCCUUCCCGUGGCUUCUGGAGUCUUCUAGAUGUAAGAUAAUUGCGUGGCACGUUGAUAUCUCUAUGUAAUCCCGACGUGUGGGCCUUUCUUCCUUAUUUCCUGAUAACCCCCUGCAGAAAUAGACAAACACCAAAACUCGUGGAAUUCUGUCACAUAAAACCCUAAGUUUAGAUGUUGGCUGUAUUUGGAUCCUUUUCUUUGUUUAUUUGCUGAUUAUAUUUGGUACUUAAGGACCGUCAACAACUCCCCCAAGCAUACCUCUUACUGGUCCCUGAGCAAGGAUGGACUCAAGAGUUUCUCCAGUGGUUUUAUGCCUUAAAGGUACUCAUGCGUUCAAACAAGAUCUCAUCACUAGGUUAAGGUAAACUGUUAAGAUUUAAACUUACUUAUAUUACCUUUCACCAUGGGGCUUGCAACCGUCACUUGUGUCUUGAGCAGUUAAAAGAUAGAACGAUCAAGUCAAGCACCAUGUCUUUUGUCUUUGAUCAACUAUAGCUCUGGAGUUUUUUUGCAGAUAUUCAAAUAAAACUCAGAGAUUCCUUGUAUGACUCUCUCAAUUCUCUCUUUUGUGGUAUUUCUGGAUCUUUACCAAGGCAGUGAUGAUAUAUGCCUUCUCUCAAAGCAUGUGGUAUUUUUGGUAUGAGGCAUAGUGAUAUUGCCUUCUCUCUCACCCUACUAUAACAAGGUUUGAUAUCUGGAGCUCAUAGGUGGGAGAUAGCUAAUACAUACUUACAAGACAUUUAUUGCAUAGUCAAACCAUGGAUCCAGAGAAACAAGUCAAUAAGUCAAAUCAAGAUGUGCAUGUGUGGCGA
rnacentral:lncRNA from 1 species